GAAAUGCGAUAAGUAGUGUGAAUUGCAGAAUUCAGUGAAUCAUCGAAUCUUUGAACGCACAUUGCGCCCUUUGGUAUUCCAAAGGGCAUGCCUGUUCGAGCGUCAUUUGUACCCUCAAGCUUUGCUUGGUGUUGGGCGUCUUGUCUCUAGCUUUGCUGGAGACUCACCUUAAAGUAAUUGGCAGCCGGCCUACUGGUUUCGGAGCGCAGCACAAGUCGCACUCUCUAUCAGCAAAGGUCUAGCAUCCAUUAAGCCUUUUUUUCAACUUUUGACCUCGGAUCAGGUAGGGAUACCCGCUGAACUUAAGC
rnacentral:misc_RNA from 1 species